rnacentral:rRNA from 1 species
UACGAACUGUGCGAACGUUAUUCGGAAUCACUGGGCUUACAGGGUGCGUAGGCGGCUAUUCAGGUCAGGCGUGAAAGGCCUGGGCUCAACCCGGGAAUUGCGCUUGAGACUGGGCUGGCUUGAGUGCGGGAGAGGAUGGUGGAAUUCCCAGUGUAGAGGUGAAAUUCGUAGAUAUUGGGUGGAACACCGGUGGCGAAAGCGGCUCUCUGGCCCGGUUCUGACGCUGAGGCGCGAAAGCGUGGGGAGCAAACAGG